UGUUUUACCGGUUGUCCAUAACAUGUUAUCAAAAUACUUAAGAACUCGUAUUAUUUUUUUAGUCACUCGUGGACGUUGUUAAUAACUUGAUACAAAUAAUAAAAGAGUAUAGUUGUUGGUUGUUGCUGAAGAAUAAUUAAAAACUGUAGUCAUCCGAACAGCCAUCGUAUUAUACGUAUUGUAAAGUUAGAAAGAUUUUGUUGUGAACUCAACCCAGAAACAGGGAUCUUAUGCAUGAAGCAAAUAACACUUUUUUCUAGAAUUCAUCAAUUAAAUUUAGAAAAAAGCUUAACAUCUUAAAUUAAGAAAUAUAAUUUUAAACCAAUAAAUUAGGUACUCUUUCAGCUGGUAAGUAAAGAAGUAUGAGUUAUUUUAUUUUGAUUUCUAAAAUCUCUGAUAUCCGCACUCCUCUCUUCUUCUAGAUCAGUGGUUCCCAACCUUUUUCACCUUGCGAACUUCUAACAUCCGACAGAAAUUGGCGAAUGAAAUAAACAAUAAAAUUUGAUAGGACAUUUAUUUUUUGUUGCACAUUUUGAAUUGAAUGAAUGUUAAUGAAAACGAAUUAAAAAAACCAAUGAUUUAA